rnacentral:rRNA from 1 species
CAUCUAAGUACCCCGAGGAAAAGAAAUCAACCGAGAUUCCCCCAGUAGCGGCGAGCGAACGGGGAGCAGCCCAGAGCCUGAAUCAGUGUGUGUGUUAGUGGAAGCGUCUGGAAAGGCGUGCGAUACAGGGUGACAGCCCCGUACACAAAAAUGCACAUGCUGUGAGCUCGAUGAGUAGGGCGGGACACGUGGUAUCCUGUCUGAAUAUGGGGGGACCAUCCUCCAAGGCUAAAUACUCCUGACUGACCGAUAGUGAACCAGUACCGUGAGGGAAAGGCGAAAAGAACCCCGGCGAGGGGAGUGAAAAAGAACCUGAAACCGUGUACGUACAAGCAGUGGGAGCACAGAGCAAUCUGUGUGACUGCGUACCUUUUGUAUAAUGGGUCAGCGACUUAUAUUCUGUAGCAAGGUUAACCGAAUAGGGGAGCCGAAGGGAAACCGAGUCUUAACUGGGCGUUAAGUUGCAGGGUAUAGACCCGAAACCCGGUGAUCUAGCCAUGGGCAGGUUGAAGGUUGGGUAACACUAACUGGAGGACCGAACCGACUAAUGUUGAAAAAUUAGCGGAUGACUUGUGGCUGGGGGUGAAAGGCCAAUCAAACCGGGAGAUAGCUGGUUCUCCCCGAAAGCUAUUUAGGUAGCGCCUCGUGAAUUCAUCUCCGGGGGUAGAGCACUGUUUCGGCAAGGGGGUCAUCCCGACUUACCAACCCGAUGCAAACUGCGAAUACCGGAGAAUGUUAUCACGGGAGACACACGGCGGGUGCUAACGUCCGUCGUGAAGAGGGAAACAACCCAGACCGCCAGCUAAGGUCCCAAAGUCAUGGUUAAGUGGGAAACGAUGUGGGAAGGCCCAGACAGCCAGGAUGUUGGCUUAGAAGCAGCCAUCAUUUAAAGAAAGCGUAAUAGCUCACUGGUCGAGUCGGCCUGCGCGGAAGAUGUAACGGGGCUAAACCAUGCACCGAAGCUGCGGCAGCGACGCUUAUGCGUUGUUGG